UACGAAGGUCCCGAGCGUUGUUCGGAAUCACUGGGCGUAAAGGGAGCGUAGGCGGCGUGGUAAGUCAGAUGUGAAAUCCCGGGGCUCAACCCCGGAACUGCAUCCGAUACUGCCGUGCUAGAGGAUUGGAGAGGUAGCUGGAAUUCACGGUGUAGCAGUGAAAUGCGUAGAUAUCGUGAGGAACACUCGUGGCGAAAGCGAGCUACUGGACAACUCCUGACGCUGAGGCUCGAAGGCCAGGGUAGCGAAAGGGAUUAGAUACCCCUGUAGUCCUGGCAGUAAACGGUGCACGCUUGGUGUGAGGGGAAUCGACCCCCCUUGUGCCGGAGCAAACGCGUUAAGCGUGCCGCCUGGGAAGUACGGUCGCAAGACUAAAACUCAAAGAAAUUGACGGGGACCCGCACAAGCGGUGGAGUAUGUGGCUUAAUUCGAUGCAACGCGAAGAACCUUACCAAGGCUUGACAUGCAUCUCUAAGCGCGUGAAAGCGCGUGACCCUUCGGGGGAUUUGCACAGGUGCUGCAUGGCCGUCGUCAGCUCGUGUCGUGAGAUGUUGGGUUAAGUCCCGCAACGAGCGCAACCCUUGUGAUUAGUUGCCAGCGGGUAAAGCCGGGAACUCUAGUCAGACUGCCCAGAUCAACUGGGAGGAAGGUGGGGACGACGUCAGGUCAGUAUGGCCCUUACGCCUUGGGCUGCACACGUACUACAAUGCCCAGCACAAUGAGAACCGAGACCGCGAGGUGGAGGAAAUCUGCAAAACUGGGUCCAGUUCGGAUUGGAGGCUGCAACUCGCCUCCAUGAAGUCGGAAUCGCUAGUAAUGGCGCAUCAUCUACGGCGCCGUGAAUACGUUCCCGGGUCU
rnacentral:rRNA from 1 species